rnacentral:rRNA from 1 species
GAUGAACGCUGGCGGCGUGCCUAAUACAUGCAAGUCGAGCGAACAGACGAGGAGCUUGCUCCUCUGACGUUAGCGGCGGACGGGUGAGUAACACGUGGAUAACCUACCUAUAAGACUGGGAUAACUUCGGGAAACCGGAGCUAAUACCGGAUAAUAUAUUGAACCGCAUGGUUCAAUAGUGAAAGACGGUUUUGCUGUCACUUAUAGAUGGAUCCGCGCCGCAUUAGCUAGUUGGUAAGGUAACGGCUUACCAAGGCAACGAUGCGUAGCCGACCUGAGAGGGGGGGAGGCAACACGGGAAGUGAAACAGGGCCAAGACUCCGAAGGGAGGCAGCAGUAGGAAAUCGUCGGAAAGGGGAGAAAGCGUGACGGAGAACGGCGGAGGGAGUGAUGAAGUUGUUGGGAUCGAAAAACUGUGUUAUGGGGGAAAAAAAAAUGUGAAAGUAAAUAUGCACGGCUUGAAGGUACCUAAUAAGAAAGCCAAGGAUAAAUACGUG